rnacentral:rRNA from 1 species
GACGAGCGCUGGCGGCGUGCUUAACACAUGCAAGUCGAACGGAAAGGCCCUGCUUGCAGGGUGCUCGAGUGGCGAACGGGUGAGUAACACGUGGGUGAUCUGCCCCUUACUUUGGGAUAAGCCUGGGAAACUGGGUCUAAUACUGGAUAGGACCAUGCUGUAGGUGGUGUGGUGGAAAGAUUAGUUUCGGUAAGGGAUGAGCUCGCGGCCUAUCAGCUUGUUGGUGGGGUAAUGGCCUACCAAGGCGUCGACGGGUAGCCGGCCUGAGAGGGUGGACGGCCACAUUGGGACUGAGAUACGGCCCAGACUCCUACGGGAGGCAGCAGUGGGGAAUAUUGCACAAUGGGCGCAAGCCUGAUGCAGCGACGCCGCGUGGGGGAUGACGGCCUUCGGGUUGUAAACUCCUUUCAGCCAUGACGAAGCCCUUGUGGUGACGGUAGUGGUAGAAGAAGCACCGGCUAACUACGUGC